UGGAAGUAAAAGUCGUAACAAGGUCUCCGUUGGUGAACCAGCGGAGGG
rnacentral:rRNA from 4 species